GUGGCUUCCGGAGCUAACGCGUUAAGUAGACCGCCUGGGGAGUACGGCCGCAAGGUUAAAACUCAAAUGAAUUGACGGGGGCCCGCACAAGCGGUGGAGCAUGUGGUUUAAUUCGAUGCAACGCGAAGAACCUUACCUGGUCUUGACAUCCACAGAACUUUCCAGAGAUGGACUGGUGCCUUCGGGAACUGUGAGACAGGUGCUGCAUGGCUGUCGUCAGCUCGUGUUGUGAAAUGUUGGGUUAAGUCCCGCAACGAGCGCAACCCUUAUCCUUUGUUGCCAGCGGUCCGGCCGGGAACUCAAAGGAGACUGCCAGUGAUAAACUGGAGGAAGGUGGGGAUGACGUCAAGUCAUCAUGGCCCUUACGACCAGGGCUACACACGUGCUACAAUGGCGCAUACAAAGAGAAGCGACCUCGCGAGAGCAAGCGGACCUCAUAAAGUGCGUCGUAGUCCGGAUUGGAGUCUGCAACUCGACUCCAUGAAGUCGGAAUCGCUAGUAAUCGUGGAUCAGAAUGCCACGGUGAAUACGUUCCCGGGCCUUGUACACACCGCCCGUCACACCAUGGGAGUGGGUUGCAAAAGAAGUAGGUAGCUUAACCUUCGGGAGGGCGCUUACCACUUUGUGAUUCAUGACUGGGGUGAAGUCGUAACAAGGUAACCGUAGGGGAACCUGCGGUUGGAUCACCUCCUUACCUUAAAGAAGC
rnacentral:rRNA from 1 species